UACGUUCCCGGGUCUUGUACACACCGCCCGUCACACCACGAAAGCCGGUAAUACCCGAAGCCGGUGGCCUAACCCGCAAGGGAGGGAGCCGUCGAAGGUAGGAUCGGUGAUUGGGGUG
rnacentral:rRNA from 1 species